rnacentral:tRNA from 1 species
GACCUAAUACUUUAAAUAUAAAAGACCUGACUUGCAUUCGGAUAAUAAGUUAAUAAACUUUUAGGUCA